AGCGACGCCGCGUGCGGGAUGACGCCUUUCGGGGUGUAAACCGCUGUCACCGGGGACGAAUCCUACUGGGAGGCAAUGCCCAUGUAGUUGACGGUACCCGGAGAGGAAGCACCGGCUAACUCCGUGCCAGCAGCCGCGGUAAUACGGAGGGUGCGAGCGUUGUUCGGAAUUAUUGGGCGUAAAGCGCGCGUAGGCGGUUCUUUAAGUCUGUCUGUGAAAGGCCGGGGCUCAACCCCGUGUAGUGCAGGGGAUACUGGAGGACUUGA
rnacentral:rRNA from 1 species